rnacentral:rRNA from 1 species
CCGACGGGUGAGUAACACGUAUCCAACCUGCCGUCUACUCUUGGACAGCCUUCUGAAGGAAGAUUAAUACAAGAUGGCAUCAUGAGUCCGCAUGUUCACAUGAUUAAAGGUAUUCCGGUAGACGAUGGGGAUGCGUUCCAUUAGAUAGUAGGCGGGGUAACGGCCCACCAAGCUCGAUGGAUAGGGGUUCUGAGAGGAAGGUCCCCCACAUUGGAACUGAGACACGGUCCAA